GUUGAACUAUAUUACUACGGUCGUCCCGAGAUAUCGCCGGACAACCGGCGCGUGGUGUCACGAUUAGACAUUCGUUGCACAAUACGUUCAAAACACGAUUUUUAUUUCCGUUUGAUCUUCGAAACGAGGAGAAACCGCGUUACUCGAUCUCGAAGAAACGUCAAAAUACACAGAGAACAUCGACCUCACCUGUUGGUCGAGCGCCACGGGGUCGUGCGACUCGUCCCAGUCGUGUGGGGACGCGCUGUCGACCAGCGACGGCGGGAAGCGGCAGAAAUUGUUGACGGGCGACUGGGCGGACCGCUCGUAACCGUACAGACCGUUGCCGAUUGGUCGCGCAGUGACGUGCUGCUGGUGGUUGAAUUGAUGGUUAUUGGUCACCGGGAUCGGGCUGCUGUUGCUGCUGCUGCCGUUGAACUGAGGAGCGUCCCUGCGAUAUGAUAUAUUAUAAUAUUGUAAUGAUUAAUGACGUUACGAUUUAAACGUCCGUGUAAAAAAUAUAAAAAAAAAACGGGCCGAGGAGACACGGUCGUGACAAAUAGCUAAUAAGUAUCAUCUGAUUCAUAUUAUUGUUGUGUAAGUAUAUGAACUACACAGAUGAUAUAAACACAACGGUAACUGUUAACAGGUGAAGUCAACAUCCACCAUUUUUGUGGGAAUUAUAAAUCUUAUAUCACAGAACAUCUUGGCCAAUCUGAACUAUUGCCUAUUAUCAACAACAAAUAUUUAAAUACAUAACUUAUGUAUAAUACAUUAAUACUAGAUAUGUAUAUGAGCAAUCAAACUAUGGACCAUUAGAUAUAUCACUUUAUAUAUUUUUUAACAUAUUUAAAAAUACUCUCUAAGCUUUCCUGGUAUUUCUAAAAACAAUCUUUGAAAGUUUUGUCUAAAUUGUUCGACAAUCAUUUAAUUUUAUAAGCUACUCGUUUAAACAUACAUACAUAAGGAUAAUAAGGACAUUACAUUUUGUUAUUACAAUUUUAAUAACCAACAAUAGAUUAAAUAUUAUUUUUUUUAUUUAAAAAAAAAUUUCAACAACAUUUGUUGGCUAUCGCUAUUCUAUACCAAUUUUAUUUCUGUAACCAUUUACAACUAAAUAAUAUAAACAAAAAAAUUAUUCGAUUUUUGUGAUCUAAAACGAAAUUCAUGUCAAAUUUAUAAAACAUCAUCCUAGUCCGGUAGUUUCUGAGAUUAGCGUAUUCAAACUUACAAACAUUUGAACUUUAUAAUAUUAAUAUAAAUAUUUAUUUACAUAUAUACAAACUUGUAAUUGACAAUACUCUAAUACCCAUAAACAUGUUGACAGAUGACGGUUUCAUUAAUUUCAAUAACAUAUAAGCAGUAAAACCUAGCACCGUAGCGGUUAACAAUCUAGUUUAUUAAUGUCCGAUCGUAUAUAUUUUAAUAUAUUAAUUAUUACAAUACCUUUGUAUAACUAAUGUUAUCGACUGGUCGGCGUUGCCGAACAAAUUUUGCGCGUCCAAAUGUCUCAAGUCACGAGCGUCGUAUACUUCAAUCUUCCGUAUGAUGUCACCGACUCUCAGGCUACUUUCACUGGGUGAUCUGGCGUAGACCUAAACAUAAAACAAGCGCAUGACAAUAAAAUUAUGAACAUUUUCGAGAGAAUUUGUCUCUUAAUACUGUUGUUGUAUAAUAAUAACAAUUGUAUGUCGUACAUAUAAUACGCCAAAACCAAAAGACACGAUUAAACAAUUUGUUUGCUCUUUUAUAUAUAUACUGAUUAUAUGACUAAUGUUCGACACGUGCGACCGUAUAUACACUGUAUAUGCCAGAAUUGUGUGUGUGUGUAUGUGUUAAGUAAACUAAAGUUCAACGUUUCAUAGGUACAUAAUAUAAUGUGACCAAAUAUUUUGUACCUAUAUAAUAUAUUAAAACUGUACUGCAACCCAUAUGUUCAUAUGCCUUUGUGCUGACUGCUCCCUGAAGUCGCUGUCGUUCAACAGACACGCAAACAUUAUACCUGCCGAGACAUUUACUUAGCCUAUAUUGAUUGUACACCACAUGCAUUUAGAACGAGAAAGGUAUAUAAUACACAUGUAGUAAUUAACGGUAAAACGAGGUAAACUGGACGCGCUGUCGGAUCUAUGUAUAUAUAUAUAUAGGUAGUAUAGUAUAGUUAAAUAUUUAUAUACUUGUAGGUAGCUACAAUUUACAUUAUAUUAUACAUAUUUUUACUAAAUUAUUAUAUGUGUGAGGUUUACGGAAGUAACGUAAUAGUAUAAUAAUAUGUACCCAAUGACUGAAUGACCUACAAUAUAUUGUUAAGCUCGUUUUUAACCAACUCCCACCAUGGUUGAAAUAAAACCAUCUAUUUUUGUCCAUUAUUACAAAAAUAUCGUGUCAUAAACGUUGUACAAAUCAUUAAUAUAUUAUAACCGUUAAUAUUA